AGAGUUUGAUCCUGGCUCAGGACGAACGCUGGCGGCGUGCCUAAUACAUGCAAGUAGAACGCUGAAGAGAGGAGCUUGCUCUUCUUGGAAGAGUUGCGAACGGGUGAGUAACGCGUAGGUAACCUGCCUUGUAGCGGGGGAUAACUAUUGGAAACGAUAGCUAAUACCGCAUAACAAUGGGUGACCCAUGUCAUUCAUUUGAAAGGGGCAACUGCUCCACUACAAGAUGGACCUGCGUUGUAUUAGCUAGUAGGUGAGGUAACGGCUCACCUAGGCGACGAUACAUAGCCGACCUGAGAGGGUGAUCGGCCACACUGGGACUGAGACACGGCCCAGACUCCUACGGGAGGCAGCAGUAGGGAAUCUUCGGCAAUGGGGGCAACCCUGACCGAGCAACGCCGCGUGAGUGAAGAAGGUUUUCGGAUCGUAAAGCUCUGUUGUAAGUCAAGAGCGAGUGUGAGAGUGGAAAGUUCACACUGUGACGGUAGCUUACCAGAAAGGGACGGCUAACUACGUGCCAGCAGCCGCGGUAAUACGUAGGUCCCGAGCGUUGUCCGGAUUUAUUGGGCGUAAAGCGAGCGCAGGCGGUUUGAUAAGUCUGAAGUUAAAGGCUGUGGCUCAACCAUAGUUCGCUUUGGAAACUGUCAAACUUGAGUGCAGAAGGGGAGAGUGGAAUUCCAUGUGUAGCGGUGAAAUGCGUAGAUAUAUGGAGGAACACCGGUGGCGAAAGCGGCUCUCUGGUCUGUAACUGACGCUGAGGCUCGAAAGCGUGGGGAGCGAACAGGAUUAGAUACCCUGGUAGUCCACGCCGUAAACG
rnacentral:rRNA from 1 species